UGGCCAGCAACUCUUAUCCCUACCUCUGCGUGGCACCGGCCGGGCUGCGCACAAUCUUAGAGAACCCUGGUGGAAACCUUGGGGGUAGGCUGACAGGAAAUG
rnacentral:ribozyme from 1 species